AAGAAGAAAUGGAAACAUAUAUCAACCUUGAAUUCACCCUAACUAUAAUGGGGACCAUUGAAAACCUAUACAUAUGCAUCUAUGCAUGCCUGCAGUUCAGUUGGUACAUCACUGUGAUAUCUGCACAAAGAUCAUGGGUUUGAUCCCUAUGGAACACACAUACUGAUAAAAUAUAAAGCGUAAAUGCACUGUAAGUCACUUUGGAUAAAAGUGUCCAACCAAUGCAUACAUGUAACAGAUGUUUAGUAAGGAAUUAAUAAUAAUAUUAGCUAAGAGCGUUACUUUAUCUAAUCUAAAUUCAUGCUCCAACAUGUCUGUUGCAGCUUUUGCAUGCUUGCUCAGUCUGUGAUCCCUAAAAAAUCCCUUUCUGCCUCUCUUGUUUUCUUUCUGCUUUAGCGUGAUAACCAGAAGUGUGGUUUUAACAAGCACCACACGCUCAACCACACACGCCACCUAAACUUUGCUCCAGGCUUCAGUCGAGGACAACAGGCGUUGUGCUGCAGACAGGGAGUGGCAGGAUGGUACUGCAUUAGCCCCUGGCUUCUGCCCAAGAAACUCCACACCAAAAUCAAUAUUCUGCAACUUCUGUAGGAAGCACCAGGAUGAUCUGCAUUGAUGGUCUGCCUAAAGCAGCACACACCACAGGAGGAUGUAUAGCUGUAGAAGACUUUGUGAAAUACUCUGUAUAGGCCAGGAGACGUCCUGAUGAUUUGAAACAGCUCCUAAAGGACAUUCCUUGAUUUACAUACUUUCUGUGGUAUGAAUGCAAUAUCUAACUUACAAUCCAGCCUGCAGCCUCAGGCUUGUGGCCAAAUCACAACCUUGGUUUUAUUUUUAAAUACUUUGCAUCAUCUGACUAUCAAUAUUAGUUCUCUGUUGAAACCAUGUGACCUUAGCGCCGUUAUGUAUUUCCACACUUAAAUGACAUCAUAAACAUGCAUGGCUAGAAAUAAGUUUUGGGCCAAUUACUGAUAAAGUGACCUUGUUGUUUCGCGAUUUCAUUGAUUUAUGAAUCAGUCCACUGUUUUCUUUUCCACGAACGUUGAGGACAUGGCAUACUUUGAAUACUUGGUUAGUUUUGGAAAUUAGAUUGGGAAAAGAGGGAAAUUGUUCAUCAAGAUUGAAAAUCACAAUUUAAUUUGUAAAUUAGGGUUUUCUUAAAGUAAUUCAAAAUGUACACUAUACAGUGAUGUAUAUAUAACUGUUCACAAUGAGGCCUUUCAUAAAUUAUUUCCUAUUGACAUACUGACAUGGAACAUGUUUAACUUAUUUAUAGACAGCCUGACCGGCCAAACAAGUUUAUAAAUUGUUAUAUGAAAUAAAGUAUAUUUUAACAACAUAUAUACACAGAAAACAAAUUGGUCCCUAGCUGUAAAAAAGUAGCUGUUAAAAAAGAACACCUUUGCACCAAAAGAGUGCAUUAAUACAUCAAAGAUACAUAUUGGUACCAAACGUAUACAUUUUUACAUACAUAUUAGGACUUUUUAAAGGGGUAAUGCCCCAGUGACACAGCUUGGGACCAUUUUUUAACCAUUACUUAUGACGGUGUGUGCAUUGCAUAUAUAAAGCAUUAACCUUAACAUGAACACAAAUAUCAUUUAUCCUAGACAUUUGCUUAUGGUGACCCAAAUGAAAAAUACAGGCGUAAUGAAAAAUGCAUGAUAAAUAGGAUGACUAAUCAUUAAUAAAGUGCUGAAAAUUUAGUUCAUAAAUCAAUUUAGUGCAAAUUAUGCCUGUCCUGUAUGCCUGUCAAGUGUCUUGUGGGAAACAAUUUCAUCUGAUUAUACUGUAAUCUGAACCACAAAAAUAUUGAAGAGUGGACAUGUGGGUUUUAAAGAGUGCUCAUAAAGCCACAUUUGCGCAAUCUUCCAGUUUUAGGUGUCAAUAUAAAAGCAUAUACAGUAUAUUUGAAAUGAACUUUAACAGAGAUAGAUAAAAGCAUCUGCCUUUAGUUUUUUUUUUAUUUUCUACAUUUCAAAGUUUAUUUGCUUUGCUUUUAAAUAACAGUCAAAUAAAAGUUGUGGUCUUACUUAGCUCAGCUGAGUAGGAAGCCUGACUGUACUUACUGAAACAUCAGAUUUAUUUGAUGAACAUUAAUGAAGACUUUUAUAUCAGUCUUGUCUAACAGAAAAGUGAAUUGUCUGUCUGCUUAUAUCAGUUAUUUGACCAGAGACAAGACAUUAUGCUAUUCCCCGAUGUUAAAAUGGUGUUUUGUAUGUUUUUAAAGCAAUCCUAGUCCCAACACAUCAAUAUAUACAGAUGUUCGUGCAUCAAAACAUGUCUCUUUUGAAUCAUAAAAUGUUAAUUUACAUUCUCUCAUAUUUUGCUGAGUCACAUUGGUGGAGUAUUGCACAUAUCCCAGCGAUAGAUCUGCAGUCUGUGGCGCCAGUCCUACAGUUACAUUGGGAUAUGAGCCUGCUACACCCUUUAAUAAUAAACGCUUGAAUUUAACAAUGAUUCAUAGCUGAUGAUUGAUGAUUAAUCGCUUAUAACUUACAGAUGAUGAAAUAUCUUUCAAUUGAAUCAUGUCAAAAAUCACUUUACAAACUCUUAUGAAGACUAAUGAUCAUAUUUUGUGAGGUCUAUUGUGAGUCUUUGUAAAUCUCUUAGGUGCUGUAGCAUGUAAAACUGUAUUUAACUAGGCAUAAAUGAAUAAUAAGAGU